rnacentral:tRNA from 1 species
AUUUAUAUAUUAUAAAAAGUAUACUUGACUUCCAAUCAUGUGGUCUAUAUAAAAAUAGUAUAAAUA